CCUUGACCAGUCAUUCCUUUCCCUGGAGGAGGACGAAGGCAUCCUGACCAUGCCGUCCACGCUCCGAACGCUGAGCCACAGUGAGAUUAGAGACGCACAGGAGGUUCGGAGUCACUGCUGACUUGAGGAAUAGCUGUGCCCUGUGAUAGACUGAGCUGAAAGGAGUGUUCUGGAAGACCACUCUGAAGUAGGGCAAACGCAAACUGGUUUGCAAGAUGACUCAGAGAAGGGCGAUGGGACUUUAUCCGGAUAUGGAGUUUUCAGACUUUCAAUGUGGCCAUGGAGAAGGAAAAUAGAGUUAUUGAGGAAGACUUGUGAGGCUCACCCCUAGCUGAGGAGCGGUGGGAGUUAACGGCUGCUGGGAAAAUGGAGCUGGUUUUCUUCUCGCUGCCAAGGUGUCUGCGCUGUGGUUGGUAGCCGCACAGCCAUGCUCACACACGAAAGCAGGAGGAUACAAAUGAAGACACACAUACAUCCCAGAUCUACACCUUGGUGAAUUCUCACAACCAGAACGUGUCCACAGGAGCAGCAUUUUAGAAGCUGCCUUUGUGCCCCUUCCUGUCGUGAUCCCUCUUUCAAGGGGUUUUGACUGCUGUGCUGAAACACCCUGAGCAGAAGCAACUUGUGAACGAAAGGAUUUAUUUCAUCUUGAAGAUUACAGUCCAUCAUUUUGAGAAGUCACGGCAGGAACUCAAGGAGGAACCUGGAAGCAGGAACUGGAGUAGAAGCCAUGGAGAAAUGCUGUGUAUUAGCUUGCUCCUUAUAGCUUACUCAGUCUGUUUUCUUAUCGCAGUCUGGACCACCUGGCUGGACAUGGCACUGUCCACAGUGAGGUGGGCCCUUCCAUAUCAAUCAUCAUGCAAGAACAGGCCAAUCUAGUGGGAGCCUUUUCUCAGUUGAGGUUCCCUCAUCCAAAAUGAUUCUAGCUUGUAUCAAGUUGACAUAAACUACCUAGCACAGUCCUCAAGCUUUCAGAUGAGUCUGUUCUUAAAUUACUUUACUGAUAAGACUAAGAACCCCAACAAUGGACCUGGAUUUCGCUGACAUCACCUGGCACUCACUCUACAAUGUGCAAAGGCACUUCCUCUUUGUAGCAGGUUUCUCCCACUCUUAAAGUCUUAUGAGUCUUGUAAACUUCUGAGCUUUCUGAGCCUUGUAAGUUUCAUCAGCUUCCUGAGUCUUCAAUCCUCCCACAUCCUUCCAGGAGGAAAUGUUUUAGUUCAGAGGCAAUAGCUUACAUGCAUUUCUGUUAUGUGGAGAGCUGGAUUCCUGCAUUCAGAGCUCAUCACAGGAAGUGUCUGCAUCACCUCCAAAAUCUCAGUUUCAUUUAUUUGUCAAUGCAAAACAAACAAAACACUGUCACCUCUAUUCUAGAGCUAAAUAUGAGUGACUAGGGUCCAGGAAUGCAAACGUAGGUGGCUGCAAAAGUUGUGUUCCAAUGUGAUAAUAGUUUUAUUCAAUUUCUUUUCCUUUUAUGAUUUAAAAAAAUUUAUUUUGUGUUAGAGGGUUGUGCCUGCAUGUAUGUAUGUAUGCACACCAGAUGACUUCCUUGUGCCCACAGUGGUCAGAAGA